UACGAAUGUCAGUGAAGGGUUACAGCCAAGUGUUAAUUCGGUUUAUAGCAAAAGGAUGCCUACUUCUUUCUGCAGUCAUGUUUGUACAUAUGGCUCUGCCUCGUGACAAUUUAUCCAAGUUGGGCCAAGACUAUCAAACUCAACCAAGACAGGUAUAUAACAUUCUUCUAAUGAUUUCAAGAUCAGCAAACUUAUUCUUAAUGCAGGGUUUCUGUGGCCAAAACAGGGCAUGAGGAAUUCUGCUGCACCCUCUCCCUUUCCUGCCAAGGCUCUUCCACAGAAGCGUCUGAGCACAAUUGGAAAAUGACUGCAUCUUGCCAGGC